GUAGUCAUAUGCUUGUCUCAAAGAUUAAGCCAUGCAUGUCUAAGUACAGGCUUUGGUACAGCGAAACCGCGAAUGGCUCAUUAAAUCAGCUAUAAUUUAUUAGAUUGUUCUCUACUUGGAUAACUGUGGGAAUUCUAGAGCUAAUACAUGCGCAAAAGCUCCGACCUUCGGGGAGGAGUGCAGUUAUUAGACCAAAACCAGCCGAGCUUCGGCUCGAACUGUUUGGUGACUCUGGAUAACUAUCAGCGGAUCGCAUGGCCUUGUGCCGGCGACAUAUCUUUCAAGUGUCUGACCUAUCAACUGACGAUGGUACGCGAUAUGCCUACCAUGGUGAUAACGGGUAACGGAGAAUAAGGGUUCGACUCCGGAGAGGGAGCCUGAGAAAUGGCUACCACAUCCAAGGAUGGCAGCAGGCGCGCAAAUUACCCACUCUCAGUACGAGGAGGUAGUGACGAAAAAUAACAAUGCGGGACUCUAUGAGGCCUCGCAAUUGGAAUGAGCGCACUUUAAAUCGUUCGACGAGGAUCUAUUGGAGGGCAAGUCUGGUGCCAGCAGCCGCGGUAAUUCCAGCUCCAAUAGCGUAUAUUAAAGUUGUUGCAGUUAAAAAGCUCGUAGUUGGAUCUGGGGGUUCGGGUCGGCGGUUUGCCGCUCUGCGGCUACUGCCGUGCUCGACUCUUACUAGCCGGUGCGUCUCGUGGUGCUCUUCAUUGAGUGCCUCGAGAGCCUGGCAUGUUUACUUUGAAAAAAUUAGAGUGCUCAAAGCAGGCGGUUCCGCCUGAAUAGUGUUGCAUGGAAUAAUGGAAUAGGACCUCGGUUCUAUUUUGUUGGUUUUCGGAACUUGAGGUGAUGAUUAAGAGGGACGGUCGGGGGCAUUCGUAUUUCGGUGUUAGAGGUGAAAUUCUUGGAUCGCUGAAAGACGGACAAAUGCGAAAGCAUCUGCCAAGAACGUCUCCAUUAAUCAAGAACGAAAGUCAGAGGUUCGAAGACGAUCAGACACCGUCCUAGUUCUGACCAUAAACGAUGCCAACUAGCGAUCCGCAGUGGUUGCUAUAAACGGACUCUGCGAGCAGCUUCCGGGAAACCAAAGUGUUUGGGUUCCGGGGGAAGUAUGGUUGCAAAGCUGAAACUUAAAGGAAUUGACGGAAGGGCACCACCAGGAGUGGAGCCUGCGGCUUAAUUUGACUCAACACGGG
rnacentral:rRNA from 1 species